GACGAACGCUGGCGGCGUACCUAAUACAUGCAAGUCGAGCGCAGGAAACUGACGGAACUCUUCGGAGGGAAGGCAGUGGAAUGAGCGGCGGACGGGUGAGUAACACGUAAGGAACCCGCCUCAAGGAUUGGGAUAACUCCGAGAAAUCGGAGCUAAUACCGGAUAGUUCAACGGACCGCAUGGUCCGCUGAUGAAAGGCGCUUCGGCGUCACCUUGAGAUGGCCUUGCGGUGCAUUAGCUAGUUGGUGGGGUAACGGCCCACCAAGGCGACGAUGCAUAGCCGACCUGAGAGGGUGAUCGGCCACACUGGGACUGAGACACGGCCCAGACUCCUACGGGAGGCAGCAGUAGGGAAUCUUCCACAAUGGACGAAAGUCUGAUGGAGCAACGCCGCGUGAGUGAUGAAGGUUUUCGGAUCGUAAAACUCUGUUGUAAGGGAAGAACACGUACGAGAGGAAAUGCUCGUACCUUGACGGUACCUUACGAGAAAGCCACGGCUAACUACGUGCCAGCAGCCGCAGUAACAC
rnacentral:rRNA from 1 species